UACAGAGGUCCCAAGCGUUGUUCGGAUUCAUUGGGCGUAAAGGGUGCGUAGGCGGCGCGGUAAGUCGGGUGUGAAAUCGUCGGGCUUAACUCCGAAACUGCAUUCGAUACUGCCGUGCUUGAGGACUGGAGAGGAGACUGGAAUUUACGGUGUAGCGGUGAAAUGCGUAGAUAUCGUAAGGAAGACCAGUGGCGAAGGCGGGUCUCUGGACAGUUCCUGACGCUGAGGCACGAAGGCCAGGGGAGCAAACAGG
rnacentral:rRNA from 1 species